rnacentral:tRNA from 1 species
AGCCCCAUAGUCUAGUUGGUCAAGGAUACAAGACUCUGAAUCUUGUGACGCAGGUUCGAAUCCUGCUGGGGCUA